rnacentral:rRNA from 1 species
AAUCAACGCUGGCGGCGUGCCUAACACAUGCAAGUCGAACGAGAAAGUGGAGCAAUCCAUGAGUAAAGUGGCGACCGGGUGAGUAACACGUGACCAAUCUACCCUUGAGUGGGGGAUAACCUCGGGAAACCGGGGCUAAUACCGCAUAACAUCUUCGGAUCGGAAGAACUGGAGAUCAAAGGAGCAAUUCGCUUAAGGAGGAGGUCGCGGCUGAUUAGCUAGUUGGCGGGGAAUGGCCCACCAAGGCUUAGAUCGGUAGCCGGCCUGAGAGGGCGCACGGCCACACUGGAGCUGAAACACGGUCCAGACUCCUACGGGAGGCAGCAGUGGGGAAUUUUGCGCAAUGGGGGAAACCCUGACGCAGCAACGCCGCGUGGAGGAUGAAGUCCCUUGGGACGUAAACUCCUUUCGACCCGGACGAUAAUGACGGUACGGGUGGAAGAAGCCCCGGCUAACUUCGUGCCAGCAGCCGCCGUAAG